GAAGUGCGAUAAGCAAUGCGAAUUGCAGAAUUCCGCGAAUCAUCAGAUCUUUGAACGCAAAUGGCGCCGGAGGGAUAUCCUUCCGGCAUGUCUGUUUCAGUGUCUGAGAGGUUUCACAUAAAUCUUAAUGUGAUUGAUGGGUUGCAUGCAUCUCUGUUGAAUAAACAGACGCAUACAAAUCAUCUCUCAUGAAAGAUGCGUGAGUGGAUCUUUCGGUCCAAUGAAGUGGUCACAUCACUCGUAUGUGAUUUCAUUGGGAAAUCACCGAAUUAUCUGUAUACUCACAGUACCUAUACUACAAACAAAAUCUCCAUACCCUGCAUCUGAGAUAGGCAAGAUCACCCGCUGAACUUAA
rnacentral:misc_RNA from 1 species